AACGAACGCUGGCGGCGUGCUUAACACAUGCAAGUCGAACGCACAGUUCAGGGUGUUUGGCAGCCGGGUGUGUAACGCGUGGGGAUAUACCCUUCUGUACGGGAUAGCUCCGGGAAAGGGAAAUUAAUGGCGUAUACGUUCUGAGGGCGAAAGAUUUAUUGGGGCAGGAUGUGCACUAGUUGGAUUCGCUAGUUGGUACGGUAAUGGCCAACCAAGGCGACGAUCCAUAGCUGGUCUAAGAGGAUGAUCAGCCACGUUUGCAGGAAGACACGGCCCAAACUCCUACGGGAGGCAGCAGAGGGGAAUAUUGGACAAUGGGCGCAAGCCUGAUACAGCCAUGCCGCGGAAGUGAUGAAGUCCCUAGGGUUGUAAAGUGCUAUCAGUGGUGACGAUAAUGACGGUACCCACAGAAGAAGCCCCGGCUAACUACGUG
rnacentral:rRNA from 1 species